CGCCAUAGAACAGCUUUUUGGUCGCUCAUGCAACAUCUUGGGUUGCAACAUCGAUAGUUACUAGGACUAGGACUCUAUGACUAGUUUGUACUAUCCUACUCGUAUUUUCUGUUUUAAUUAAAUUAUCACCUAUAAAUUAAAUAUAAAUGUAAUGAAAACAUAUCGAUAGUUAAUGAUAUCGCACUAUCGGCAGUCGAUAGUACCACUAACCAUACAGUAUA